rnacentral:lncRNA from 1 species
AAGAGAUCUGGGUUGCCAAGGACAUGGAGGCAUUGGGAGAUGGACCAAGCUGGAUCCCUCAUCCAUGGCAGCUCCACUCGCCUCUGAAGAACGCUCGGAUCUAUACUGGCGCUGAUGAGUGGGUCCAUUUGGAUGACCUCAGCUGGACGAACAAACCUCUGCUCCAUGUGUAGCGAGAGCUGCUGGCCGGGAUUCAGGAAAACAACUCAGGAAGGGAAAGCCGACUGCUGCUACGACUGUGUUCCCUGUGCCGAGGGGGAGAUCAGCAAUCGAAUGGGUAGGUGUCUGCGGAGAAUCGUGCUUCCCAGUCAAACAGCGGUGGGCUGGGCAGGACAUUCCGGGAGAGCUUUCUGAGAGUGAGAAAUAACAAUGAUAAUAACAACAGACUGUGAUGUUUGUUAAGCAUUUCCUAG